rnacentral:rRNA from 1 species
GACGAAGGGGGCUAGCGUUGUUCGGAAUUACUGGGCGUAAAGCGCGUGUAGGCGGUUGCCCAAGUCGGGUGUGAAAGCCUUGAGCUCAACUCAAGAAAUGCACUCGGUACUGGGUGACUAGAGGACCGGAGAGGAUAGUGGAACUCCCAGUGUAGUGGUGAAAUACGUAGAGAUUGGGAAGAACACCGAUGGCGAAGGCAGGUCUCUGGGCAUUAACUGACGCUGAGGAGCGAAAGCAUGGGGAGCGAACAGG